rnacentral:rRNA from 1 species
UCCUACGGGAGGCAGCAGUGGGGAAUUUUGCGCAAUGGGCGAAAGCCUGACGCAGCAACGCCGCGUGAGUGAAGAAGGCCUUCGGGUCGUAAAGCUCUUUUCUGAGGGAAGAGACUGACGGUACCUCAGGAAUAAGCGCCGGCUAACUCCGUGCCAGCAGCCGCGGUA